GAUGAACGCUGGCGGCGUGCCUAAUACAUGCAAGUAGAACGCUGAAGCUUGGUGCUUGCACCGAGCGGAUGAGUUGCGAACGGGUGAGUAACGCGUAGGUAACCUGCCUCUUAGCGGGGGAUAACUAUUGGAAACGAUAGCUAAUACCGCAUAAAAGUCGAUAUCGCAUGAUAUUGAUUUGAAAGGUGCAAAUGCAUCACUAAGAGAUGGACCUGCGUUGUAUUAGCUAGUUGGUGAGGUAACGGCUCACCAAGGCGACGAUACAUAGCCGACCUGAGAGGGUGAGCGGCCACACUGGGACUGAGACACGGCCCAGACUCCUACGGGAGGCAGCAGUAGGGCAUCUUCGGCAAUGGGGGCAACCCUGACCGAGCAACGCCGCGUGAGUGAAGAAGGUUUUCGGAUCGUAAAGCUCUGUUGUAAGAGAAGAACGAGUGUGAGAGUGGAAAGUUCACACUGUGACGGUAACUUACCAGAAAGGGACGGCUAACUACGUG
rnacentral:rRNA from 1 species